ensembl:lncRNA
CUCAAGACAGCACCACCUCUCACUGCAGUAGUAUGCCAUCCCCAUUUUACAGAAGCAGAACUGAGUGUCCAGGAGGACAGAAUUUUCCCAAGACCACCCAGCUUUGAACUCAGGCACCAUCAUUUCUCGCCGGAAAUACCGCCAUCGCCUCCUUGCUGGCCCUCCCUGCCUUCCCCGCUCAGGCUACGCCAUCCAGCAGCCAGAGGGAUUAAGUUGAAGCGGUUUGCUCAUGUUUCGGCAUAACUAAUCACUGAGAAGACAGUUGCUGCUACCGGAUCUGUAGCAACAGAAUCAGAAUCUAGGCUGGCAUUUCUGGAUCUUCUCAGCCUUUCCCUCAUGGACACAGCAUGGCAGCCGUGUGUCCGAGCUUCCUGCCUUCACACAUCCUUUGAAGGAAGGAAGGAAGGAGAGGACAAAUGACACGAUGUUUUCCUCCAGUACGUCUCUAACCGUGGAAGGAAAUAUCCUUCCUAGGAGCUAUCUGAGACUUUCCAUUGGCAAAACUGUGGAGGACCUGGGACAAUGCUACUUAGACUUUCCAGUCUCUAUGGUGAGAGUUGGACAUUGAGAAGGGUGUUGGGGGGUCGACCAAUGGUGUCUGCUUGAGAUCAAACAGCUAGAGGGUUAGGACUUGAUUUAAUUUGAAAUUUUGUCCGGUGCCAAAGCCUACCUUUUGGGCUCUAGGCUAAACUGCCUCUUGGGAGGGAGAUUUUGUUUUCCCUUUCAUUUUGCUUUGCUUUCAGAUGCUGUCUAGGUAGCUGGACACAAAUGGCCAUAUAUUACAGGAAUCUGUUGAUGCAGAAUGUCCAGAAUUGGCAAAUCUACGACGGAAAGCAGAUUACUGGUUGCCAGGGGCUGGGGUGGUUGCAGUAAAUGGAGGGUGACUACUAAUGAGUAUGGGGUUUGUUUUUA